GGCUCCCAUAGCCUUGUAUAUUGGAAUACUUGGUCCUGAGUUGGUGAAACUAUUUGGAAAGGAUUUGGAAGUGUGGUCUUGCUGGAGGAGGUGUGGCCUUGCUGGAGGAGGUGUGGCCUUGCUGGAGGAGGUGUGGUCUUGCUGGAGGAGGUCUUUGAGGCUUCAAUAGUCUCAGGCCAUCUAUUCCCAGUUAGCUGUCUGCUUUGUGGUUGUGGACAAGAUGUGAGCUCUCAGCUGUUCUUUCGCUCCACCA